rnacentral:rRNA from 1 species
UACAGAGGGUGCAAGCGUUGUUCGGAAUCAUUGGGCGUAAAGGGCGUGUAGGCGGUCUGUUAAGUCAUGUGUGAAAUCCCUCGGCUCAACCGGGGAACGACGCAUGAAACUGACAAGCUAGAGUACCAAAGAGGGGGGUGGAAUUCCCGGUGUAGCGGUGAAAUUCGUAGAUAUCGGGAGGAACACCAGUGGCGAAGGCGGCUCUCUGGGCAAUGACCGACGCUGAGACGCGAAAGCGUGGGAAGCAAACAGG